UACGUAGGGCGCGAGCGUUGUCCGGAAUUAUUGGGCGUAAAGAGCUCGUAGGCGGCUUGUUGCGUCUGCUGUGAAAACCCAGGGCUCAACCCUGGGCCUGCAUUCGAUACGGGCAGACUAGAGUACGGCAGGGGAGACUGGAAUUCCUGGUGUAGCGGUGAAAUGCGCAGAUAUCAGGAGGAACACCGGUGGCGAAGGCGGGUCUCUGGGCCGUAACUGACGCUGAGGAGCGAAAGCGUGGGGAGCGAACAGG
rnacentral:rRNA from 1 species